AGCAGAAAUUAUCUGUGAGGUUAUAAAUAAUUGGGUUUUUAAGAACUGUUCUUUUUAUAUAAAAUAAAAAAUAUACUUGAUAGAUGAUAAAUAAUAGAUGAUGUUUCAGUUUCCUAGAGUUGCUGUAACAAAUUACCAUAGGCUGGAUGGAUGAAAACAACAGAAAUUUAUUUCCUCACAGUUCUGGAGGUUAGAAGCCUGAAAUCAAGUAGGCUUGGUCUUUUCUAAAGGCCAUAAAGAACUCAUUCCAUGUCUCUCUUGCAGCUUCUGGUGGUGGCUAGCAGUCCUUGAGUAACUAACUGCCUCUGUCCUCAUGGAGCUAUAUCUGUUUUGUAUCUCCUUCUCUCUUAUUGUAAGGACACUACUCAUCGGGUUUGGAGCCCACCCUAAAUCCAGGGUAAUUAUAUCAUGAGAUCCCCUAAUCACAUCUAUAAAGACUCUAUUUCCAAAUAUGGUCACCUUCACAGGUGUAUCAGGUUAGGACUCAGACUUACUUUCUGGGGGACAAGAUUCAACCCACUAUAGACAGAAAUUCUACAGGAUCUGCACUAAGAAGUUGCCUAUCCUAAGGACUACAGACAGAGGUUGUUGCUAAGUAGUUUUGUAGUAAGAAGAGACAAAAGACCUUAAAAUUAACCAUAUAUAAGAAUAAAUGUAAGAAUUUUUCAAAUUAAAUUGGAGACCAUACCAAUUUUAAUCACUCAUCUUUAAUAAUAAAAUAGGUUCCUAUGCAGCACAUACCUCAGACAUAAACUUAAGGUUCUGUUUAACAACCCCCCCAAAAAAAGGGAUAGAAAAGUGUCACUAAAUAACAAAGUAAAUAUCUUUAAACAUCAAGACCUUAAAGUCAUAUCCAAGCAAAAAGACCAAGAAUAAGUUAACCCAGCUUGUUUACAAAAAUAAUUAUUUAUCAAGUAAUGUUUUAUAUCAGAGCUACCUCAAUGAAUUGCCUCAGACUUAAUCUCAAUUGUGUAGCUUAUUUCCUUUAGGGAUAAAAAGUAUCUGAAUAAGUGUGUCAUUAAAUAAAGGGAUACUUUACCAAAAACAAUAAAAAAGUUUAAAAAUAAAAACUGUCAUUUAUAAAAUAUCAAAUAAGGCCUCUGACUGAGAAAAGAAAUCUAUGUAAUGUUUGAGUCAUCAGCCCUUUUCUAUUCAAUUAGCCUCAUCCACCCCACUCGCACCAAACUUAAGAUAGAAAAAUUUUCUGAAGUGUAGUUUUGAAUUUUACCGGUAUAUGAAAUUAUACAUACAAUUACCAUAUAAAGUAAUACUUAUUUAACAAAUUACGUACUCAAAGUAGAAUUUCCUAUGUCUUAAUUUUAAUAUGUAUUCAUUAUAAAUGAGUACAAUAUAUUUAAUCAUGUUUGAUACUCUUAUCCCUUUUUACUACAAUCACCACAACAUAAGAAAAUUUAGUUUUCAACUGAUGUUAAAGCACAUAUCUGUAUCUGGUGGCUUUUAAAAAAUUUACAUACUAUAUAUUUGACAUUUUAAAAGACCACAGAAAACAAAUACUUCUAAAUCCACAGAUCAUCCCACCCCACUCCCACUUUCAGCUGAAAGGUCUUAAGAAAAAUCUUACAGAUUAUGAGGAUCAGAUGGAGCCUGAAAACAGAUUCAGAAAUUUUUCUUUUUUUGAAAUUUUAAUUCACUUUCUUUUCGUAUCUCAAGAAUACUUAAAGAAAAAAAAGGGUUUUAUGAGCCAGAAGAAUUCCCAAUUCACUUUUUAAAUUACCAUACCUUUCUUGCUAUAGCAAACAUUUCAAUUCUGUUAACUAAAUGAACUACAUAAUAUCCUUAAAAAUCAGCCAGAGAAGAGAAAAACAAAUUUAUCUUCAUUACUGACUUCAAACCAAAACUUAUUCUUUCAAAGGAGUAGUUUAACCUACUAAAAAUGUCUAUUAUAAGAUCUUCUUUCUUAGAAAGUAGUAUUCCUUCUUUUUCAUUCCUGAAAUGAUAUUUCUUACACUUCAAUAAGCUAUGGACAAUUGUUAGCUAAGUAUCAGUUAUGGUAAGUUGCUAAAAUUAUCUCUUUUGUUGAUGGUACAUAUAACACAUUCAUUCCUAUAGCCUUUAUAACUUUUCUUUCACAAAAAAUUAAAUAAAUGUGAAAGCAGGCAAUCACUAAAGCUGAAGUCUCAUGGUACAUAAACUUUGUAUUAACUUUGACGCCAAAUUGGAAGGAUGAAAUUUAGCAUACAAAUCCUCAGUUCACAAAACAGUGCCCAAAAUGUAUAUUUUUAGAUUGGUAUAAUUUUAUGAAUUCUCAAACAUUUACUGGGAAUAUUCAAGCUUACCUUAUUAAUCACCCAGAAAGCCAGCACAACUGC